CUUGCUUUACUCUUUCCUCUUCUCGUUCUCCUACUCUUGCAUUAUCUCUUCCCGCUCCCCUUACAGACCGGUUAUUCACUCAGGCCCUAGACACGCUGUUGAGGUGGAUUAUUGAAUGACUGACUUCACAUAUCAGUCAACCUAAAAAAACAUCGUAGCAGACUCAUCUUUUUCUUUUAAUUAUUGUGAUCAGUAUUUGAAAUAAUUUAUAUCUUUCUAAAUAACAAGAAGAUUGUUUUAGAUGAUAGCUAGACUGAACAGCGAUUAUUUUAAUUAAAAAAAAAAAAAGAAAGAAACACAGGCCCUUGAGUGGAUUUCAUCAUCUGUAGUGUUCUACCAACAACUCGUACUGUCUUCACCUUACAUUGAAUCAUUCAUACUUAACUACGAGUAUUUUUUGUGCCUCCUUUGGUUUCUGACGACUGCAAAACGUUAUGAAACUGCUAUCUCAUCUUUUCAGUUACUAUUUCAUUUUAACAUUUCUAACAUUAUUCAUCUUUCUUCAAGCUACAUCAGCUGUUACACCCGAGUGUGAUUCGAAUAAAUUCAACUGCGACGAUGGGACGUGUAUUGCGUUGAAUGCAUUAUGUGACAGCUUCGAAGACUGUGAUAAUGGAUCGGACGAACACAAUUGUUUUAACGCUACGUGUGGACCCACAGAGUCUUCUUGUGACAAUGGACAGUGCAUUCCGCAAAAAUGGGUUUGUGAUGAAGAAAUAGAUUGUAAUGAUCGAUCUGAUGAAAACCCUAAAACAUGUGCUGAACGAAAAUGUGCAGAUGAUCAUUUCUCUUGUGAAAAUGGUUUGUGUAUCACAGUUGACUGGCUGUGUGAUGGACAAAAUGAUUGCCCGAAUGGAUUAGAUGAAAAAGACUGUGUUCAAGACAAGUGUCUUCCGAAGGAAUUUCGCUGUAGCAAUGGUGACUGUAUCAACAGUGGAUGGGUUUGUGAUGGAGAAAAUGAUUGUGCAGAUGAGUCAGAUGAAAAAGGCUGCGAACCUCAUACAUGCCAGCCUGAUGAAUUUGAGUGCGACACUCAUACUUGUUUAAAUCCAAGCUGGAUAUGUGAUGGCGACAAAGACUGUUCUGACAAUGCUGAUGAAAGUAACUGUACUACAAUCAACAAUGAAUGUACAAGUCUGGAUUUUAUUUGCAAAAAUGAAAUUUGUAUCACUAAAUCCUGGAAGUGUGAUGGGGAUGAGGACUGUCUAGAUGGAAGUGAUGAAGUCAAUUGUACGCACACUUGUGAUAAUGACCAUUUUCUUUGUGAAGAAUCAAAAGAAUGUCUUCAUAAAUUACUUAAGUGUGAUGGUUCUGUUGAUUGCGAAAGUGGUUCUGAUGAAAAAGAUUGUGGCUCCUCAGAAAAUACGUGUACAGAUAGAACAUUUGAUUGCUAUGGCGAUAAAAAGAAAUGUAUUCCAUGGAAUAAAGUGUGUGAUUUCCGUAACGAUUGUGGCAACUGGCAAGAUGAGAACGAUGAUUUUUGUCUGGAAAAAUACCCCUGCAAAGAUGAUAAUGGUGGAUGUCAACAACAGUGCAUUUCUUUGCGUCAUAUGCACCGCUGUGAUUGUUUCACUGGUUUCAAGCUUGUUGGCAACUCCACUUGUCAGGAUGUAGAUGAAUGUGAAAUCUUUGGAACUUGUUCCCAAUUAUGUGAAAACCAUGUUGGCUCCUACAAAUGUAGUUGUCUACAAGGUUAUGAGUUGCACGAUCGAAAUUCUUGCAAGACAGUUGGUCCUCGGCCUUGGUUGAUUGUGUCAAAUAAAGCUGAUGUGCGUAAAUUACAGCUUGGAACCCAUAAAUACAAACUAAUACAUUCAAAAAGUGACAAUGCCAUUGCUCUUGACUUUGACUAUGCAGAAGGGAUGGUUUACUGGACUGACAUUACUCAAGAAAAAAUUUUGAGAGCUCCAUUUGAUGCUGAUGAUGCAGUGAAUUCAUCGGAAACAGUUAUUGGAACUGGCCUAAAACAUCCAGAUGGCUUGGCUGUUGACUGGAUCCACCACAAUAUCUACUGGACUGAUACAGGAUUGACAAAAAUUUUUGUAGCAAAUAAAUCAGGGCAUCAUGUUAAAACAUUGAUAGAUCAGGAACUUCGUGAACCAAGAGCUAUAGCUGUUGAUCCUAAAAGAGGUUGGUUUUAUUGGACUGAUUGGGGAUAUCCAGCUUCAAUUCAAAUGUGUGGCAUGAAUGGGAAAUAUUCACGAAAAAUUGUAGUAAAUAUCCAGUGGCCAAAUGGUUUAACAAUAGAUUAUGAAAAUCAAAGAUUAUAUUGGAUUGAUGCCAAGUUAAGAAAAAUUGAAAGCUCUAAUCUAAAUGGAGGUCAGCGUAUAACUAUUCUCAGCAGCCGAAGAUAUAUUUUGUUCCCUUUUGCUAUAACUGUUUUUGAGGACACUCUGUAUUGGACUGAUCGUAACAGUGAAUCAAUUUGCCAAGCAAAUAAAUUUACUGGAGAACAUUUUGAAAGAUUAGGGCUACAACUUCGUGAACCAAUGGACUUACAUGUUUAUCAUCAUACACGACAACCUUCAUCUACAAGUCACUGUGGCCCCAAUAAUGGUGGAUGUGCACAUCUAUGUUUGCCCGACCCUCGCGACGAUGGACAUACAACUUACUCAUGUGUCUGUGCUGAUGGCUAUUUAUCAUUAAGAAACGGACGUGAAUGUGUUCGCCAAGAGCCUUAUGAUAUUGCUGCUAACAGUUCAACUGUACUGACUAAAUCUAAUGUUUCUCUUACAUCUAAUACUACUACUACUACUCCUAUUAAAAUAAACGAUUCCACUACUGUUACUAUUCCUCCUCCUACCACCACUUCUAUUACUACUUCCCAUCCUAUUAAAGAAAAUAACACCCACAUCCAACCAGCUGCUGCUGUUACUAACAUCUCUACUCUCUCUAAUGAUUCAGGCAAAGCCAUUCAACCUGUUACGAAUCCAUCACAUACAACAACUUCAAAGUCACAAGGUAUUCCACCCAGUACUCGCUCACCUGUUCAAUCAAGUACAAUUACUCCAACAACACAUGGUGAUAAUCAGUCAAAUUCUGAUUCAUCAAUCACUCAAGUAUCAACAGGAAAUAGCUUAAAUCAAACAACUCUUGUUGUUAUUCAAAAACCCAAAGAAACUGGCAAAAUCACAGGAAUUGUUACAACAGUUCUGAUUUUAAUAUUGAUUAUAUUAAUUGUGAUUACUUACGUCUCGUACAAAGCCUAUCGUAAGAAACGAACAAAGCACAUGAACUUUGACAAUCCUGUCUACCGAAAGACAACUGAAGACCGAAUUAUGUUGGAGAAAAACACACCAAAUCAACUUCCAGCGACUCUACAGCCGCUGACCGCUUGAUGGACGGGUAAUGUGGUUUUAGUCUUCCUAGUAAUUGCUAUGUUUCAUAUUGGAUGUCUUCAACAGGGACAUUUCCUAUUACAUCUCUAGCAUCCCUGUAGAAACCUGCUCAAGUCCAGUGACAACAACAAUCUGCUAUGCUGAACUAUUAAUGGAUCAUUCUCUUACACAACACCUCUGGGUUGGUUCCUCCUUCUUUCUUGCAUACCAACAACAUUGUUAUAUUGGCUCCACUGCAUUCAUACUAAACAACUACACAUUUAUAAUAUACAACUAUUUUAUAAUUAGCUCCUCUACAACUGUGUAGUCUUACUUUAUUCAGAUUUUUUAAAGAAUAUUUUAAAAUAUUUUUAAGCAUUUAUUGCAGUAACUUAACAUAUUUUAUUUUAGGAUUUCAUAAUUGUAUGUGUGUGUGUUUGUGUAUGUGUCAGCAAUUAAUACUAAUUAAUUUUAGCAAAAUUUCUUAAUUAUUUGGUGUUGUAUCAACUUGAAUCAAUAUUUCUGUUAUCACUUCUCUCAUUUUAUUUUCUCUUUCUUUUUUAACCCAUCACACACACAAAUAUCUUUUACACAAACAAUUUACUUGUUUUUUCUAGAAUUCAUUAACGGUUUCAUUUUCAAGUUUUGUCUUCUCAAUUUUAGCUUAUCUUCUAUGUCUUAUUAAUAUUUGCUUUAUCGUUCAGAUGUUUAGUGUCACUUAAUAUAGAUACCUCAACAGUUAGUAAGCUUAUAAUUAAACUCAUUGAAAACUACCCAUUAUAAACUCUGUCUCAAGUAUCUAUGCUUGUUGUUUUUUAAUAUUUAUUUUUGUUACAUAAAAUAUUUAUGUAGUUUAAAUUCUUCAUAAGCUAUAGUUUAAAAUCAAAAAGAUGUGGAUAAAUUAAGUAAAUCAAUGAAAGCAAUUAAAACUAAUUUCUAUUUUAAAUUCUUUGAUUUCGUUGAAGUGUUUUGUCAUUUUUAGUGAGGAACACUAAACCAAGUCUCAAAACAAUUUAUUCUACAAUAUUUCCAUUUUAUCUUCAAAAUCAUUGCUAACAAAUUUAUCAAAGCUUUUCAAUCAUCUUACAAAUUAUCUGUAAAAGACUUUUAAACUGUUGUUGAUGUUGUUAUUAUUAUUUGUUAAACAAGUGUAAGUUGAUCCACGAGGUUUUCUCUGUGUGUGUGUGUGCGCGCACAAAUCCACACAAGUAAAAUGGAAGCAUGUCUAUGUUGUUGUUUCAUCCUCAGAUCUGUCUUGUUUGAGCAGAACUAUGAACAAAGAUGUUCCAGCUGUGACCAUCACACUUUACUUGAAGAGUGUAUCUAGGAAUACAUCAUCCCUAUGUUUCCUUUUCAUUUUAAGAUGAUGGGGUAUGAUAUGAGGGAGAUGUGGCUAAUAUUUCUAGCAGAUUGACUGCCUCCCCCUACCACCACCUCACUGACUCGUGUAUACAAGUAGACUUUCAUGUUAGCCAGGUGAUGCGUAAAUUUUUGUAUUUUUUUCCCUUUGCUGCAUCCAACUUUCCCUCAAAACACAAACAUGUCCACCAACAAGAAAUCCAUUCUUAAACUUCUUUUCUAUACAGAUGCUGACGAUCUUCUUCCUCAGGUUUUUUUUAUUAUCAAAUUAGAGUAAUUUAAUUCUAACUAAUUGAUUAUUAGGUUAAUUAUAGACUCUUACUGUUGCUGUCACUUUUUGAAGUGUUCACUUUUCUUGGACACCAAAUAGCUUUCCUGAGUUUUCUAAGAAUCUACUCAGUUUGUGUUGACUCAAAAUACAGAAUCUAUUCUGGUGGAAAUGUAUGUUUGUGUGUGUGUGUAGGAAUCCCAUUUUGAUUUCAACUGGGCUCAGCAUAUAAAUGGGUUUGGAAGCUGAUGGAUUCCUGUCACUGAGAAAUUCCAUAUAUUUGGACGUAGGAGUUUAUAUGUUUAUGUAGGCUUCAACUGUGUCUGGUUUAAUUCAGACUUUUAGAUGCUGCAAACAACUUGCAUUGGGAAUAAAAAUGUAAUUUAGUUUCACGUCAAUGUUCCAUUUGUAUUUGAAAUAAUUUAAUGGCAGUGCCCCAGUAUGGCUACAACCAAUAAUAGAAUAAAUAAAAACUCACAAAAGAAAGCAGUAUAGCAAUGUUGGCAAGGGUGACCAUUUUCAUUAAAUAAUUUUUAAUUGAUAACUUAUUAAUUUCUCCCAGGAAAUUUUAGCUGUGACUGAAAUGGCUGCAAAUUGAAGUUUUUUCUUUCUGUUUUGCUGCUGUAGGUUUAUCUUGCUGCAUUAAUCUAAGUUAUUUAUUAAAAGAACUGAAAACAUCUUCAGAAUAGAUUUUUCAUUUUCUGAAUCCCUGUUGAAAAAAAUUAAUGGCAGACUUGGAGUGAAAAUCAGUGUUCAGGUUUUACAAACUUUGGUGAAAUCUCAAGAAUUAGUGUGUUAGAAUAAGAAUGAAAUUGAGUAAUGAGUUUGUAGCAAAUUCUUAAAUAGGAGAAUACAGGUGGGGGAAGGGGACUGUUUAUUGACAUUGCAUGGUUCAAGAGUUAUAGAAACCUUUGGAAUGGUUGAGAUGCAUUAAUUCAGUCAUCCAUUGGUGAGGAGUCUUUUAUCUUAAAACAGGUGAAAGCACCAAGAACUGAAGCUCUGUUCUGAUUGAUUUAGAGGAAGAUUUCCUAAAGACUCCAUUUCUCUUGAAACAGGAAGACUUAAAUAUUUCUUUGUUUUAACAGACCAAUAGUCCAGCCUCUUGUCAAUUUCAACUCUUCUAAAUAGAUGUUGUAACCAGAGAUCUUUAGUGCUACCUUUCCUUUAAAUUUCGGUCAGAUGUUAUAGCUUAAAGAAGGAUCUUUGACAUAAGAAUUUUCUCUCUCUUAUGUGACUACUGACUUCUGUGGAAUAAUGUACCUCCUAAAAAUAUUGAUGGAAUCAUUGCUUCCCUUCCAAUUUUAGAAUUAUUCUCUUUGCUCAGGAUAACCCACUAAACUUGACAUUAGGCAGAUUGUGCAUAAAAACAUCACAUGAAGGUGUUGUUUACCUGCCAAAAUCUGUGGAAUCUAUUUCUUCUCAGCUUUCAACAAUGGUAAAAUAAAAUCAGUUGGAAUCAGUGGACAUGGCAGGGAAAGCAGUGCUUAUAGAAGAAUGAAAUUCUUCCUGCCUGUUCUCAUUUUAUCUAUUUUCUUUGAUGUGUGUAGGUCUACAAAUUUACUUGUGAGAUAAAACAAUUAUCUCUACUUCGUCUUCUUUCCUCAUUUACUUAACGUCAACUCUCUCGGCUUUCUCUUUCCUUUGCUUCAUUUUUUUGUUUCUUAACAUCAAUCAUUUUUUUUCCCUUCAUGUUGGCAAAGUUGAUGCUUUGCAACCAAAUUACAUCACUAACCAAUAGUGUGUGUGUGUGUGUGUACACACCCUACUGUUGUGAUAUCUUUUAAAUGUAAAUAAAGACAAUGAUUUAUGUAUAAUACUUGGCUUACUACAAUGUAUCUAUAUUUCAUAUCUUCACUAGGAUUAUAUAUAUAUAUAUAUGUGUGUGUGUGUGUCUAUAUAUAUAUACAUGUGUGUAUAUACAUGUAUAUGUGUUUGCGUGUAUAUAUAUAUAUAUAUAUAUAUGCACACAUAUACAUAUAUAUAAAUUAUUUUUAAAAGAUACUUUUUUAAUUCUUAUUUAUGAUUUUUUUUUCCUGUCAAAUUUAAAUCUGAGCUUUUGCUUUUGUAACAUAAUUCAAACCAUUAAUAGCACAUAAAAUAGAUGUAUAAAUUCCUGUAAUAUAAACUUUAAACACACAUAUAUAGAUUUCACUAAAUAUAUAUGUGUGUGUGUGUGUGUGUGUAUUUUUAUUUAAACUGUUUGUCGAUAUAUGUAUAUAAAGUAUCUCUACAAUCAAACUGUUUCUGCCAACAAGCAUUUCUAAAUGGAUUUUACAAUUUUACACAGAAAAUAGAAAAAAAAGAAAAAGGGAAUUAUAUCUUAAUUUUGUUUUAGCCUAAGUUUUCUCAGUUCUGCAUAAUAAUCAAAUGAUACAUCUCUUAGUGUAAUGUUUCCAUUUAUAUUUUUUUUUAAAUCCUUUUGUUGCUAUAUAUUUCUGUUGAAAUAACAAAGAAUUUAAUAAAACAAUUCUGUUGUUAUUAAGCUGGUAUUUGAAACAACAUGAAGUUUGUAUCUUUGUCCCAAGAGCAUUCUUGGACUGAUUUGUAUCAGAAGGGUUAAUUUAGCUUUUUUCUCUUUUGCUUUCAAAAUACUGGAAUUUUAAAUAGAAAAGUUUUUGUUUCAUAAUUGUAAAUUGUACAGAAGUGAAAAAAAAUUGUCUAGUCUUUUAACCAAUUUUAAUUUGUAUAGAAACUUCAGAAUAAAUAUGGUUUUAAUUUAUGUCGUAAGGAAACUUUUAACUUAUAAUUCUUUUCCUGAUGGCUUGAUGCUAUCAAUUUCCUGGUAGUAAUGACAGCCAGAUUGCAUUUCAUUUUAAGGAAGAAAGCAGGGGACCAAUUUUUUUUUUUUGAAUAAAGUUUGUCAUUUUACUGCUGAAGUUUUGAAAGGAAUUUGAGAAAAAUUUCUAUAAAAACAAACAGAAAUCAGUUGGAUUUCUAUUAGAAGUAUUUUAUGGUGGGGUGUUUUUUCCUUUCAUAUUUUGUAAUAUGAAACAAAACAGAAUCUGGUUUUCUUCCCCCUCUCUCCCUAAUAGUUAAGUUCAUUAUCUCUUUUUUUUUUUUAAAUCUAAAAUAUUUCUUGAAACAUUCUACUUUCUGAAUUUUUUCUUUUAAAACUAUCAAGUUCUUCCUUUUUGUAAGAUAAAAAAAAAAAAAGGCAGCUGUGUUGUAAUUUUAACAAAAAGGAAGCAAUCUCAAUUAAGUGUUUUUGUUAUUUUAUUUAUUUAUUUAUUGUAAAAUUUUUAAAAGUCAUGCCACAACUGAUGUUUAUAUUGUGAAGCUGAACUCUGGCAAUAUUUGUCAACACUAUUGUAUAUUUUUCGUGUAUUAUGGACAUUAUGGAGGAUUGCUUAAGGCUAAGUGAAGAAUUAAUAGAAAUAAAAAAAGUUAAACUUAAA
rnacentral:misc_RNA from 1 species